rfam:Triticum aestivum genome assembly, contig: Triticum_aestivum_CS42_TGACv1_scaffold_320733_4BL
CUUAUACUCCCUCCGUCCCAAAAUUCUUGUCUUAGAUUAGUCUAGAUACGAAUGUAUCUAAUACCAAAAUGUGACUUGAUACAUUCGUAAUUAGGCAAAUCUAAGACAAGAAUUUUGGGACGGAGGGAGUAUUUC